AGACACCCCAGAGACAAGUCGAGCAGCAGAAAUCCUAUUACCAUACUCACCCAGAAAAAGACUUGGCCAAUCGGUUAUUUUGAAGUCAGAUAGGAAAUUUAAAACUUUGUUUGAAAGAAAUUAGGACGAACGUCCCAUUAUACGAGGGAGAAUAGAUAUAUAUAAUCAUAUAUAUUUAUAUAUAUAUACAUAUAUAUUCCACCACAUUCCCUAAAAGGAAUAAAAUCAUUAAACCGCCUAAGCUAGGUCGUCAAAAUAAAAUUUGGCGGCCUGAACAAAGGGACCAAAGGGACCUAAGGGAACAAAGGAAUACCUAUCCUUAUGACGGUACAGGAAGUGGUAGCAGAAAAGAAAAGUUAAAGUUCAACAAGGCAUAAGACAACGUCAAUUUUUAAAAUUUGUUUUAAUUGCAAAAGUGCAUAAAGUGAUUUUUAUAAAUUAGUUAAUUUAGUAAAACAAAAAAAUUUUAAUUUU